rnacentral:rRNA from 1 species
UACGAAGGGGGCUAGCGUUGCUCGGAAUCACUGGGCGUAAAGGGCGCGUAGGCGGAUCUUUAAGUCAGGGGUGAAAUCCUGGAGCUCAACUCCAGAACUGCCUUUGAUACUGAGGAUCUUGAGUUCGGGAGAGGUGAGUGGAACUGCGAGUGUAGAGGUGAAAUUCGUAGAUAUUCGCAAGAACACCAGUGGCGAAGGCGGCUCACUGGCCCGAUCUGACGCUGAGGCACGAAAGCGUGGGGAGCAAACAGGG